GACGAACGCUGGCGGCGUGCUUAACACAUGCAAGUCGAACGAUGAAGCUGGAGCUUGCUCCGGUGGAUUAGUGGCGAACGGGUGAGUAACACGUGAGCAAUCUGCCCUUGACUCUGGGAUAACUGCGGGAAACUGUAGCUAAUACCGGAUAGGAGGCUCGAAGGCAUCUUCGGGUCUGGAAAGAAUUUCGGUCAAGGAUGAGCUCGCGGCCUAUCAGCUUGUUGGUGAGGUAAUGGCUCACCAAGGCGAUGACGGGUAGCCGGCCUGAGAGGGUGACCGGCCACACUGGGACUGAGACACGGCCCAGACUCCUACGGGAGGCAGCAGUGGGGAAUAUUGCACAAUGGGCGAAAGCCUGAUGCAGCAACGUCGCGUGAGGGAUGAAGGCCUUCGGGUUGUAAACCUCUUUUAGCAGGGAAGAAGCGAAAGUGACGGUACCUGCAGAAAAAGCACCGGCUAACUACGUGCCAGCCGCCGCGGUAA
rnacentral:rRNA from 1 species